ACCAAAGCUGUUCUUCACGAAGAACAGUUCGAGGUGCCUACUUUGGACCUCUAUAACUUGAUGAUCGUGUAACGUUUAUGUGAUCAAUCAAUUCCAGUAUGUAGACAACAUGUAGGACUACAACGCUAACACUUAACAUCAUCAUAAAAAAAAUAAAUCAAGCAUCUAAAGUAUGGUCAAACCUUGUAAGAAAAAUAAACACUUAGAAAAUUCUGGGCUGUCCAGAAUUUUCCGGUCAAUGCCGGUCAACCCACUUUGACCUUAAAUAACUCUUAAUCCGUAAUAUAUAUGGACCUGAUUCUUUGUGGAGGUUAAAUACCACAUAACAAGCUACACAUAUCAACCUUUAGAACACAAAAAACAUUACAGAUGACCGAGAUAUAAGGCCUGACAUUUGCCAAAAAAUAUUUUCUGGACACUUAGAAUAUUUUCUGGGUUUGAAAAACAGCCGGUCAAUGCCGGUCAACCCACUUUGACCGCUUAUAAAUCCAAAUCUACAAUAGAUAUGAACUUGUUUCCUUUUGGAGGUUAAAGAACACAUAACAAGAUACACCUAACAACUUUUAAACAACACAAACAGUAAAUAAUCACAGAGAUAUAAG
rnacentral:lncRNA from 1 species